AUCAGAUACAAAUAAAUUUCCCCUCGAUAUCUUACUUUCCCAACUUCUCAUCAACAACAGUGGCUGCACCCAUGUGCGAGGUAUGUCCGUCUUUUUUUAAUAUACCGACUGUAGUUAAAUAAUUUAAUAGUUACUAUAGUUAAAUCAACUGAAAUCUAUUUAAGUUUUUAGCAAAUUUCGUAAUUGUUUUUUAUAGAAAUAAAAUGCUUUUUUAUUUCGCCUUUUACCACGAUAUUUGUGAAACACGCUAUUUUUCUUGAUUAUAUUGCCUUCAAAUCCGAACCUUGUUUAUAGCCUUACAGGUAAUAAUAUUAUUAUUACGCGAAAGUAACGGCGACACGCCCGGGAAAAUGAAAACCUUUUCGCGGUUAACGCGGUUUCGUCGGAUACGCGAACGGUUCGUACAGGUAUAUUAGAAUAACCGUUUUCGGGUGGCGGGGGGGGGGGGAGGAAAGAAAAAAGUUCGAAUGUAUAAAAUAUAUUUCAAGAACGCAGUUAAAACGGGGUCGCGGGUAUUACGUAAGUCGUACGUGUACCCGCGUCUCUUUUAGGUCCGGGCGAGGUAGGUAUAAACCCACUGACUGUACUAUAUAGUGCAUACUAAAUCGAAAAGUCUGCUGUUCGCCUCCUAAACCACCGCCUCUGUUGAACAUAAAAAAAAAAAAAAAAAACAAAAAAAAACAAAAGAAAAACCUCGACCGAAAGACCGUACCCUCAGCUGAAUAAAAUACGACGCAGGUCCAUGUGUUUUUUAUCAUGGGUAUGUAAAAAUUGACGACGUUUUUCGUGCCACUUAUUUAAUCCCGGGUGGCCCCGUCAUCUGCACCCCUGUACUAACUGCACUUUUGAACGCGCGCGACCACUUUUCGUCAAAUAAUUAUCGCGAAAAAACGACGUUCCCCCACGCCCCUCCGGCCGAGUGGUUUUCUUUUUUUUGUAGGUAGGUACUCGCCGCCUAUAAUUGCGCGUUUUAAUUUCUAUUAUUGUACACCGUCCGCAAUAACCGACAGCGUGGUUUGUUCUUUUUUCGUCGCUCGGUGUAUAUAUUAUUCUUAUUGUAAGUACCUAAAAUAAAAUUAAAAAAAAAAAAAAAACGAAUGGCGUAGUGCACGACGAAGAAAGACAUUUAUACAAUAUACGCGUAUUAUAUUAAUAAUGGAACGAAUUUUUAAAUUAUUUUUCUAAAACAGCGUACAAUGGGUGUAGAUGUAGGGUCGUGGUGUCGAUGAAAAUCACAGAAAUAAUUUGAAAAAAAAAAAAAUAAAUAAACCUAACGGCCAUCACCGAUUGUGAUUUACCGUGGAUACUGGAUUGUACAAAACGCGAAAUGAAUGUUGGUAGCGGUAUGUACAGCGCCGCGUGUCGGUUAAAGUCGGCCUGGCCGCAGCAGUCGUGAGAAUUGAGCGGUUAGAUGGCGCUGAUGUAGUACCGGACGACGUACGUAUGUCAAUCAGUUGUUGUACAGAUGGCG